rnacentral:tRNA from 1 species
GCGGGCGUCGUUCAAUGGCAGGACCUGAGCUUCCCAAGCUCAAGAUGUGGGUUCGAUUCCCAUCGCCCGCU